rnacentral:rRNA from 1 species
UACGUAGGGGGCAAGCGUUGUCCGGAAUCAUUGGGCGUAAAGAGCGUGUAGGCGGUCCGUUAAGUCGGCUGUGAAAGUCCAGGGCUCAACCCUGGGAUGCCGGCCGAUACUGGCGGACUAGAGUCCGGAAGAGGUGAGUGGAAUUCCCGGUGUAGCGGUGAAAUGCGCAGAUAUCAGGAAGAACACCAACGGCGAAGGCAGCUCGCUGGGACGGUACUGACGCUGAGGAGCGAAAGCGUGGGGAGCGAACAGG